ACGAACUCGGUACCUUCGAACGAUAAUUUAGAACUUGCACGUAGGACGCGAUGCAGAUUAUUAGAAAAACGACCGGUCGGUGGAAAUCUUGUAUUCGCGUAAGAUGGAAAAGUGCAGGUCAAGUAAGAAUUGUACGAAAGGAAAACGAUAGAAAUAGAAUGUACGAUGAUGUUGAUCUACACGCGGAAGAAAUUCGCGAUGAAUUAAAUUAAAAGAUGCGAGAAACUCGUCUAACGAAAUAACAGAUACAAGAGAAAAUGUAAAUGAUCAGGUGGUGACGACAAUAUACGUGAAAGGUGGUUUUGCUUGCACGCGUUUUAUGGCCAGCGUAUAAAUUGAAAAGCCGGCUUGGCGUAUGUAUAUGCGAAUUUUCUCUAUGGAAAUGCGUAUUUCGUUGAAAAACGCGUUUCCUCUUUAUUCCGUUGAAUCGUUUUGUCCGUCGUAGGGCGAAAAAUAGAAGCUCGACAGAGUGUCGCUUUCGGACAUUCGUCGCAUCCCGUUUGUGGUUAGACGUCGCAUGGUCGGAAAUGACAAGCUGGCAACGGUUUCCCCCGUGUUUCCGGAUAUUUGCGAAGCUUUUAGCUUUACCGUGACGAAACGAUUCCGCCGAGCAAAAGCAAGGGGAUACGAGGGCUAACUUUCAGCGGAUGCGUUUUUGUAAACUGUGCAAACUGAAAGCGAUCAAGAAUCAAGAGUUCGAUUGCGAGUAGAUGGCAAACUAUUCCAGUUACCUCUGUAAUUCUUUCGGUGGAUACGGACCAACCAUGUGUUUAUUUUUCAGGAUUCCAGUAUUUCAUUUAUUUUAAACUAGCUCGGUACCUUUAUACUAUUUUUUUAUACCACUAGUAAAUGGUAGUUUCGUCCUAUCCCGGUUAUAAAUUUCCUUGCUCUAUCGUGCAUGGACAGUUAACAGAAUUUUUUAAUCGGUUAUCUACGCUAUACGAUACCAAACGUUAUUGCAAGAAAAGACGAACGUUCUAUAGCGGCAUAUGCGUCUUAGGACGUUUCGAUACGAAGAUGCCUCACAUAGUUGUUUUGCCACGGAGGAUUAACACUGUACGACGCACAUAAUGUAAUAAACAAACUCUGGAUAAAGCAAUUUCGCUGCUACGUGCAACCUACAACCGGAGAGACAAUUUCAAACCUUUUGGUACCCCCCUCGACCAGUAUCGAUAGACGAUCAUGUCCUCCAGACACAGUCAGUCGCACGAAUCAAUAUCAGUCAGUCAGUCAAUCGAGCGAAUAAGUAUAACGAAUCUGUUUAACGAUUCAGCAUAAUAAUUAGUGUAGUAUCUUGGACAAAAGGCCUAAGAGAUAUCGAGUAAACUAUAGACAAUGUCGUGAGAGAAUGGCAAAAAUGGUCCAUCAACGUGUCGUCGCUCCUUCAAUUGAAUAAUUGCGUAGAAAAGGCCUGGCCACAUAUCUAUACUGAAUAUCUAUUACUGAAUUUGGAUAUUUCUUCUUUAAUUGUAGGUAUCUUAAGAUCGCGAUGUAUUGUUUCGUUGGUAACAUUCCAAGGUGCAUCUAUCAAGGAUCUUAGAGUUUUUGAUUGGAAUCGUUGAAGAAUUUCUAUGUUGGAAUUAUUCGCAGUUCCCCAUAGUUGGAUCCCAUAGGUCCAAACAGGUUUUAAUAUGACUUUAUAUGGCAUUAUUUUACUCUGCACGCUUAAGUUGGAAGCUGGAAAGACGACGUUAAGUUGUCAAGGACAGGUGGAAAAAUCAUCGAAUCUCAGACGUUCGACUCCCCAAGACAGAAAGACAGACCAUCGCUUCCGAUUCAUAGAAUCCAAAUCUAUUUCGGAUCCUAAGCAGCGUGGCAUUGUCGAGGCGAAGAAUGGCCAGGAAAGUCUAGUUUUAUUGCCGGUUUCUCGGGACCUCGAGACGGAACUAGCGGGCCGAACCGCUCCAGAUAAGAAGGAGUUUAUUAGAAGAGAGAAAACGGACUAAGGAUACAGCCAGCUCUCGUCUGCCAACCGGUGCGCUCGGUGAACCAGCAAAAGACCCUUAUCACGGGACGAAAAGCCGGUGAAUAAAUACAGUCUCACCGAGUUCCUGGCACCGUUGAACUUUCCGAUUCUCCGGAGCAUCGGGAGAAGCAUCAUCAGGAGGAAAAGCGGCUUUCUCGGAAGGAGAAGCAAGGAAAGAACGUUUAACUCGACUGUUUUCAACUUCUGCGAACGACUGGCCCGAUUCAACGAUUUGGUAAAUCGAACCUCUUUUUCACCUUUACCUUGGCUGGAUUUCGAUACCCGGCCGCGGUGUUGGUAACGCGAGCAAAAGGAACCAAGAUACUAUCGUUGCUGGCAAUACAGGAUGUCUGAGACAGUUGGUAGCAAAGUUGAGAAGCACGUAGUACUUGUUAAACUGAGUGAAAAUGUCUUGGUAAACACGCGGACAUGUAAAUAUUAUUAGUUUUGCAAUUACGAGAUGUUAACGAAGUUUUGAACGAUAAGAUGCUCAGCAGUGACACACGCCUAACGACACACGAGACUUUGUUGCGUCAACUGUCUAUAAGUUAUCGACCGCUGUGUACACGACACCUGUAAACGUGAACGUAUCACGCGAAGCAAUUUGCAAUUUCAUUAGCGCUGCUGUUACGAUUAUAUUGCCAAAGUUCAAUUCGAUUCGAUAAAUUCGCGAAAGCUGCAAGAAGAUCUUCUGCGAGUAUCCGGAAAGAUCGGGACAAAACUUAUACCACGCGUUAGUGAGGUCGAGUAAAGUAAAAAGAACGGUCGUACAAACUCGUGUCUGAAAAUGCUCUAUUGAAAAGUUAUAAGCGUUCAAAGAUUUCCGGUAGAGUUGUCCUUAAGACUCGUACAGAAUCGCAGACAGAUGCAAAUGCACUCGAUACUAUGCAUUUCUACGACAGCAGGAAUAUUCGAAAGAGUUCGACAAUCGUUAGUUGGACGAAUAGAAGCCUGGAUUUUCGCAGAAGGAAGGAAUUUCGAACGUUUAUUACGAUCGCCAAACCGAUACAAGUUUUUCAACGAUUUUACAACUUGUCGAUACAACGUUUUCGGAUGUAAGCUUGUGCGAACUUCCCUCUACCUACUUGACCUCGUUAACACGCAGUACAACUUUUGUCGCGACCUUUUCUGACACCCUGUAUAUUCGGCAAUACAGCUAGCACAGUAACUUGUACAUACAUUUUCGGAUCAGUUACAAAUUUUGCAAAUAUCGUAAAUAACGCGUUCAUAGAAGCUUGACAAGCUUUUCGGUGUUUUUAAUUUUCCAAUUAUAAGACGGACGAAGAAGCGUCUUCUAAAUUGCUAGAUACUUAAAUAGUAGACAGUAAAGUGUAUUGUUGUAGUAUCGGCGGAAAACCCCGAGUAAUUAACGCUAGAAUUACCGAUAGUUAACACGAAACUAUUUCUACCAAAACCAGUGAAAAUGACGGGUCUUUAAAAAAUACGUAAUAAUAGAAUAUUGUUAUAUUUAUUGAUUUAUUACUUUCUCACAGAAGCAAUUCCAUGUUAUGUAGUACAUUGUUGGUAUUAUUAAUCCAUCCGGGACUAUAUGAUCCGUAAAAGAGGGUUGACACAUUUAUAAAAUUGUAGAACCAGUCAUUUUGACUGCUGUGAUAUUUCUAGUAUUAGCAUCUAGCGAUCUAGCGAUCGAUCCGGAAUUUGAUAUCGUCAUAUUGAAUGAUACGCGGUAAAAAUGUUAAAAACGUGUGGAAAGUUGUACAAAACGAGGAAAUUGGUUAAUUGGGGUUCGAUAAACAGAUUCCAGGAUCCUUUUACACUUUGACAAGCACCAGUCGUUUUGACUGGUAUUGGUAUAAGUAGCCUUGAUACAAAAUUACUUUGAGUUUGAAUACAUAAAAAACAAAAUAAAAUUCAUUAUAUUGUAGUAUCAUGGACGAGGGGCCUGGAACGGUUGGGGUUAGGUUACGACAAAAGGGGUUGCUAAGUGAUAAACGAAUUAACAGCAGUAUGAGUUGAGAAGCCAGAUUGCGUUGUCGAGAUAGUGUUGUUGGCGUUGUUGAGAGAGAGUUGAAUCUGUGGUGACGAGACUUGUUAACUAAUUAUCUAGAUGUUUUAAUUAUAAUACGUUGUUGCGAUUAGUUCAUGUUAAAUAACCAUCGUUUUCUGUUUAAUUAACAUCUGUUUAAUCCAUUUAUUAUUAAUAGACUAAUUAUAAUAAUUUACGAUACUACAAUAUUAUUCUUUUAGUUAUCGUUGCGAAAGUCAUUACAUCAUUGCGGAAAAAGAUAUAACAUGAAGUAAGAAUCUUAAAAUAAAAUUGUAAAACCAGUCAAUUUGACUGGUCUCGGCUAAAAAAUUCUACCAAAUGUCCAAACUGGACAAAUUGUGAAUGUAAAGAAUUAAAUAAAAAGAAAAAUUUGACUGGUGAUAGUUCCAGUGUUAAGAAGGUUUAUUUUAAGUAAUAUUUACUUAUUUACAACACUUGCUUAUAAAUUAUACUUAUCUAUAAUAAGUAUUAACUUAUUAUAAAUAUUUAGCCAUGUCACUGCGCCACGCCAGAAAAAAUUACUGAAAAUUCUCAAUGCGAGAAUUGAUUGUAAAUAAUAAUAAAUAAAAAAAAAAAAAAGAA